GCUUACGGCCAUACCACUCUGAAAAGCCUGAUCUCAUCUGAACUCGGAAGCAAAGCAGAGUUGGGCCUGGUAGUACUCGUUGGGAGACUGAAUGGAAUACUAGGUGCUGUAAGCU
ensembl:rRNA 5S_rRNA 5S ribosomal RNA